CACAUUUUCUUUAUCCAUUUUUUUGGUGAUGCACACUUAGGGGUUGCCUCCAGGUCUUGGCUACUGUGGUGGACAUGGAAGUGCAGACACGAUCUUCAUAUGUGGGAGUACCCUGCUUUGUUGCAAUGGACCAAGGACUAACGAAGCAUGAAAUCAAAGAAGGCAUGAGGCUAGAGAACAGCCUAGCUCUGGGUACAGUGAAUGGACAAGACUUAAAAUCUUCUUAGACUCACCACCUUAGCAAUGCAGAUCCUACAGAUGGGAAUUCAGCAGUGUGAAGUUUUCUUUGAAGAUUUCUUCAGGCUCUAGUUCCAGCUAAAGGUCUUCUUAUUCCUAAUGCCAAGGUGUAUUUAACCACAGUGCUAAUCAUUGGGGUUACUACUGACACCUCUUCUUUUGAUGUUAACCUGCAUAACCUUAUUUGGGUGGUCCCUUCUCCACCUUUGAACUCCUUUUCUUGAAAGCAGGACAACUGUCAUUCCUGCUGAUGGCUGGUAUUUGUCAUGUGCACUCUUUAUAUAAUCUUGGUCACAAUGAUGAUGCUUUCUUGCAAAAUGUUUGAACAGAAUACAUGAAAUGAGUGAAUGUGGCAAUUUA